ensembl:lncRNA PHLDA1-AS1 PHLDA1 antisense RNA 1
AGUGCCGGGACCUUACCUUGUCUUGCCCGGGAGCUGCCCCUUUCAGGCAGAGUUGGAGGUGCUGCGGAGAAGCCGGUGCCCGUGCGGCUGCGAGUGCGGCUCGUGAUCUCGGCGUUCCAGCCCUGGUCUUGCGGGCACCGAAAGUCGAUCUCCUUGCCCUCUGCCAUCACCACAGUGAAGUACAUGUACUUGCCCUUGCGCUCCACACAGUCCACGGUCUUCAUGUUGGAGAAGUGCAGUUCCUUGAGCUUGACCGGCGGCUCGAGGCUGGCGACAGCGGGGCCACUGGGUUGGGACGGCUCGGCCGGCCCCUGCCCGGGCUGUUGUUGCUGCUGCUGCUGCUGCUGUUGCUGCUGCUGCUGCUGGUGUUGCAGCUGCUUGGGCGGGAUAAGCAGCAGCCCUUCCUCGGUGAGGAUGCAACACUUUUUCUUCCAGAGCUGCAACAACCCGUCGCUGCGCUUCUCCAGCACGCCCUCCUUCAGCGCUUUGCAGCCGCUACUCUCCAGCAUCCUCCCAGCAUAAGAGGGGCCGCCGCUUGGCUCGGCCUCUCCGUUUCCAGCCGCGCGGGC